CCUACGGGAGGCAGCAGUAGGGAAUCUUCCGCAAUGGGCGAAAGCUGACGGAGCAACGCCGCGUGAGUGAUGAAGGGUUUCGGCUCGUAAAACUCUGUUAUUAGGGAAGAACAAACGUGUAAGUAACUGUGCACGUCUUGACGGUACCUAAUCAGAAAGCCACGGCUAACUACGUGCCAGCAGCCGCGGUAAUACGUAGGUGGCAAGCGUUAUCCGGAAUUAUUGGGCGUAAAGCGCGCGUAGGCGGUUUCUUAAGUCUGAUGUGAAAGCCCACGGCUCAACCGUGGAGGGUCAUUGGAAACUGGGAAACUUGAGUGCAGAAGAGGAAAGUGGAAUUCCAUGUGUAGCGGUGAAAUGCGCGAGAUAUGGAGGAACACCAGUGGCGAAGGCGACUUUCUGGUCUGUAACUGACGCUGAUGUGCGAAAGCGUGGGGAUCAAACAGGAUUAGAUACCCUGGUAGUCCACGCCGUAAACGAUGAGUGCUAAGUGUUAGGGGGUUUCCGCCCCUUAGUGCUGCAGCUAACGCAUUAAGCACUCCGCCUGGGGAGUACGACCGCAAGGUUGAAACUCAAAGGAAUUGACGGGG
rnacentral:rRNA from 1 species